UAACAAAGAGAAGCAAAGCCGCGAGGUAGAGCAAAUCUCAAAAAAACAAUCUCAGUUCAGACUGCAGGCUGCAACUCGCCUGCACGAAGUCGGAAUUGCUAGUAAUCGUAGGUCAGCAUACUACGGUGAAUACGUUCCCGGGCCUUGUACACACCGCCCGUCAAACCAUGAGAGUUGGCAACACCCGAAGUCGGUAGUCUAACCGCAAGGAGGACGCCGCCGAAGGUGGGGUUGAUGAUUAGGGUUAAGUCGUAACAAGGUAGC
rnacentral:rRNA from 1 species